GAAUGGAUUUUUCAUCGCUCUUCUCCGAAACUGGCUGCGGAGGGAUCCAUUCGUUGCGUGGUGGAGGGGCGGAAAUUUCACUCGUUGAUUCGUUGCAUCUGUGCUUUCGCCUACGCAAUGCGGUAAAGCGAAUCUUCGGAUGGGGACAAGAAUGGAAGCGGAGUGUUCCACGUGUAAUUUCGUCGCGUCAGAGGGAUGCUUUCGGGAUUCCGCGAGAAACCCUAUCCAAGCAAGUGAUGAGUCACGUGGCCUAAGUGCUAGGAUUCAAUCUGCGAAAGCUGCGUCGAAAUGCGCCUCGAACCGCGCCCAUCUUCGUUGGAACGACGUCUCGGAAAAAACUAUAUGAUCACGCCUCCUCCUCUCUCACUUCCCUCCCUCCCUCUCUCUUCCUUCCUUCCUUCCUUCUUUCUUUUUUUUCCUUUUUCCUUUCCCCUCCUCUCCUUUCCUCGUCCCCGUGCUUUCGAAUCAAUAAUCCUGAACAAGGACUAGCUCUUUCUUUGAUCGUAGGAAUUCAAAGGCCACCCUUUUGUCUGCAUUCCAUGCUCCAGCAAAGAGUCGUAUGCACGGUAUUUCCAUCCUCUUCCGUUUUAUAACGCGAGUAAAUGCACGACACGAAGUAAAUAAUAUUCACGCAUCGAAAUCGUAUUACGCAUAUACAGAUACCAUUAACACUAAUUGUUACCGUUAGUUUUCAGAAAUUACUUAAUAUUUCCAAGAUGAGAUAUAUUCGAUUUCACACGCGUAAUUACCCAAAAUUCAUCCCCUUUGUGGUUUCAUCGCACAUCACGGCUCCUCACUGACGUCUUACGGACGUAAUGCGUGAAACUCAUCCCCGUGUCUUUCCUACAACUCUGCGUAUAUUAUUCUUUCUCUCUCUGAGAAAAAAAAAUCGAUCGGCCAAGGAUGGAUCAAGGACUCAUCGUCGUUUCUCGAAACAAUCCAAGAGAUUCGCGAUAAACCGACGCAAGUUUCCAGUUGCGUUCAACAACUGGCCGAGCUUCGCACCCUUUGCACAAAGUUUCUGUUUGCUUAUACCGAAUACGUCCCCCCUCCUCUCCACUCUCUUCUCCCUCCUUCCUUGCCAAACUUCAUCUCGCUUCAACUCCGCUUCGUGGAACCUUGAAGUCUCUCCCUCUCUCUCUCCCCUUCCCUCGUUUUUAAUCCCGAUGAGGAGGGAAUCGUGAUUUACGAUCUAUGAUCAACGAAAAUCUAAAAAUACGUGAAAGCUGAGCCUACAAGUGUCCGGGUAUAUCGAUCGAUUUUCAGCAAAUGUGAAUUUUAACAUUCAAAAGGUGAUGGUGAAACGAAUCAAUUUAUUAUUAUUAUUAUUAAAAAGCAAAUAUUUUCGAAAUGAUUAAUUGCUUUGUGAAUAGAAUAUUUAAUAUUACCGUUCAUAAUUAUACAUUCAGAAUGCUGUAUAAUAUUAAUUCUAAUCAAUAAUUAAAGUUGAAAAAAAGA